CAAUAGCGUAUAUUAAAGUUGUUGCAGUUAAAAAGCUCGUAGUUGGAUUUCUGGUAGGAGCGACCGAGCCGAACUUGAUUGUUCGAGUAUUGUGUUGUCUUCAGCCAUCCUCGUGGGGAACCUUUCUAACAUUAACUUGUUGGGAUUGGGACCCGCGUCGUUUACUGUGAAAAAAUUAGAGUGUUUAAAGCAGGCAUUAGCUUGAAUACAUUAGCAUGGAAUAAUAAGAUAGGACUUUGGUACUAUUUUGUUGGUUUGCAUACCAAAUUAAUGAUCAACAGGAACAGUUUGAGGAUAUUCGUAUGAACAUGUCAGAGGUGAAAUUCUUGGAUUUUGAUCAGACGAACUACUGCGAAAGCAUUUAUCAAGGAUGUUUUCAUUAA
rnacentral:rRNA from 1 species